rnacentral:lncRNA from 1 species
UAAAAAGCAAAGGUAUUUAUAUGUACCACCAAUAAGAAAUAAAACUAAAAUCUCACAUUUAAAAUAGCAUAAUAAAAUAUGUAGGAAAUGACAAAAUACGUAAAAGUUCUAAAUAUGCAAAUCAAUAAAUUAUUGUGAGAAGCACUAAAGAGACCUAAAAAAACGGAGAGGUUACUAAUAUACCAAGUUUUUAGAUUGGAAGACUCAGUAUUCAAUAGAUUUCAGUUUUCUGCAAAUUGGCUUAUGUGUUUAAUGCAAUUCCUGUAAAAAUUCUAGAAAGUAUUUUGUUUUGUUUAUAUUUUUGUAAAAAUGGGCAAUCAGAUUUUAAGACUAAUGGAAUGCAAAGAGUCUCAAUUAGCCAAGCUAUUCUAAAAAGAACAAAAUUUGAAGACAUUACAUAAAUUAAGAGAGUAUGGCAUUGGCACUUGGAUAGACAGAGUCUACCAGAUCAAUAAUUUCACUUCCUUUACUGCAUCCUGUUGACCAGGUCCAGCUUCCACUUCAAAGUUACCUCACGUUGUCCACAUUGAUACUGCCGCAAAAAAAUGAAGUAAUAUUUCUCAAGGACAUAUUGCUUGAAUUAGAAGAAAAAAAUUUCCAUAAGAUUGCCCAAGAAAAGAACAUAUGUGUUCACUAUAAUUCCCACUGGAAAAUUGAAGUCUUUUAGAUUCAUGUUAUACUUUAUAGAAAUGCAGU